GACCCAAUGGCGAAUGGUAUCGACCCCGUUUCAUCUAACGGCGUAGAGCAAUGCAGCGGGAGCUCCUGGUUCGAUUCCAGGUUGGGUCA